GUGCAGGAGGAAAAGCAUGACCCCCCCACCCCCAUAUCCCCCACCAGUCCUGCAUUUAUAAUUCCAUGUUGAGUGGCAGGAUGGAAAAAAAAUUAGGGAAGUAGAGAGGGAGAAAAGUAGUAUCAUCCAUACAUUUGCUCUCACAGCUGUGAUUAGUUAAAGUCAGAGGCCCACCUCUAUGCCAUAUCAACCCCAGAGCCAGAUCGAGCUAGAGAGACAGAGAGGAAUAGAAAGGAACAGAAAGGAGGGGGUUGAGAAAGUCUUCCGCUUUGCUCUUAUCCAUCUUUUUUUCUUCUUCUUCUUUUAUUUCGACCACUCUCUUUCAUUUCAACCUAUAUCUUGGGAGCUACUCAGCCUGCCCAUCUCUGUUCUACAUCUCAUAGAUACCCACUCAGGCAGGUUUAAAUGAGAAUAAAAGAAAACGAGAGAGAGAGACAGACAGAGAGAGACAGACAGAGAGAGAGAGCGAGAGAGAGAGAGAGAGAGAGAGAGAGAGAGAGAGAGAGAGAGAGAGAGAGAGAGAGCUGGUCCUAUAAACAUAGCUACAUGAUGUGCUUGGCUUAUAGAGGCUACAUUUAAUCUCCACUGGUUCCCCCAGGCUUGGGUUGAGAGAGGGGGGAGAGAGCUGCCAGGGAUGAUGGGGAGGAGGGACGAAGGGAAGGGGGAAUGCCGACGUACUUCAGUGCACAGGCGCAAAUCAUUGACACUGUAUGGAGGUGGGGUGGGGGGAGAAAUUCCUACAAAACACUUCCUUCUUCCUUUUUGUCUUUUUUUUGGGGCAUGAUCUUUCAUCUUCAUCAUUCUGUCUUGGCUUCAAUUUCAGAUUCUCUCUGCGACUACAAUGACAUGCGUUUUUGUCAUCUGUUUUAGAGAACAGCGUGCACAUCCCUGCUUGCUCUUCACCUUUACGACGUGGACGGUUUCCCUUUUAAAAAUUCCUCCCUUCGAUGCAAGCUCAGCCCCCCUUUCUGGCCACUGCUAUCCUCAUUUAUCGCCCUCUCCUUGUCCAGAUACAGCCAGCCAUCAGGCAGACGCUAAUAUUAGACCGUCUUUGACAGUGCCGGCGGCCGGCGGCCAUCGCGCGCGCUUCGCGUGAACAUGCACAGCACACACAUGUGCAUGCACGCUGCAGCAUGAAAACAAAACAAUACAAAACAAAACAAAAAAUCCAGCAAGGACGCUGCAUCACAUCUAAACUCACACUGAAACUAAAGUCGUUGAAGAACCAUACAUGGGCUUGAUUUAGCCCAUCACACAUCAGCAUGUGUGUGUGUGUGUGUGUGUGUAGCUUGUUUUCCAAGUGGGGAAGACAGCAGGGCUGUGUGUCAAGAAGUGAUGUGAUUGACAGCUGUCAUGCCAAACAUACAAGAAUGAGAGACAACAGCUGGGAGUGUGUGGACAUCAGCCUGGAGUUCUGGUCUUGUUCAUGGAGAGAAUAUGAGAGAGAAGGAAAAUCCUUAAAUCCAUCCUUUAAAUACCUCAAUCUAUUACGCCAUCGUCUCAAAUCUCGUAAUUACCAUCUGCAAAGACAUACGACUGACAUUAACAUGACAUCACGAAACCACCAGACAGAAGAGCGGACAGAAUAUUGCUCCACUCCGGUCUGCGUUGGAUUAGUGCUUUGUGCUUGACGUUAGACAGCACAAUACCUUUGUGGACACCUAAAGUAAAUGCAUUCUCUCAAGAAUAAACAAUUACACGCAGACACACACUGAUGAUUUAACAAAGUAAGCAAGUCAGAGAGACAGAAAAAAGCAUUAAAGCACGCAGUAAUUUAACAUUAUAAUAAUAUCGAAUUAUAGAACCAAGACAAACUGUAGUGACUGCCAUUUCUGGUGUAUCAGAAUGCAUGGGCUGCAGUGUGAAUGUUACACCACUGGAGGGCAGUCUAUGGCUCUGUUAC
ensembl:lncRNA